rnacentral:lncRNA from 1 species
CAUACGGUUAGUGGAAGACGUCACCAGAUGGUCUGAUUGCUUUUUCUGUAGCCCAUCACAACAGACAUUCAUAUUGUGCAAGUCUAGAUGUGCAGGACACACCAGAAGACUCCUGAGAGUUUCAAGCUGCAAAUCUGUCAGACAAAAGGAGGUGAUCCCCUGGAGAAGGCCCCUUCUCUGUUGCACAAGAACAAGGCAGCAUUGAAGCACAUUGCUGCUGUGUCCCGAUCUCAAUCUGACCCCUGGCGACGCUCCUUCCUGCUCAUUGUGGAAAAAGGACAAAUGUGCCAAACAACCUGAGCCAAAUUACACAGACUCUCAGUGGUCACGAGAAUCACAGAGAACAGAAAUUCACACAGCACUGGAAAUAUACUGCCAUGAAACUUUAGACUGUGUGGUCUUAAAAGCAAAUGGCCAGAGGAUUUUCCUGUAACACCCAGCCUGCCAAGACACACACGGCCUCUGCUCUGCUACCAACAUUAAUCUCAUCAGUUACCUCUUACCUGGAUCAAUCGCUAUGGAUGGGUUACUUUCAUGACACCAUCCAGAAAAAAAAAAAAAAAAAAAAAAAAGGGAUCACUACAGGUAUUGUCUUUUGAGAAACAGACAAUUUUUACAGCACUGACCCUCAUGUUUUAGUGGAAACUUGCUUUUUUUUUUUUUUUUUUUUUUCUUUUUCUUUUACUUGCUUGCUUGGUCUGGUUUUUACUUCUUUAAGGCUACUUCCUUUUCUUUUAAACUUAUUUUACACAAAUAUAAUAUGAAGCAGGGGAAAACAUGCAAGGCCAUCACAGGUUCUGAAAGUAUCAAGAAAGUCAGUGUAGUACAUGACCUUCCAUAGAAGAAAAGUUCUGUAUAAUGCUAGAUAAAAUGAAUCCAACCCCUCUGUUGCAACUAAGCCUUUCCAUUAAUUAAGCUAUAAGCAGCGUAACUCCUCAUUAAGCAUAAGAAAGUUAUUCCAAAGGUAUGUCUUGAAUCAGCUCCCAAGUAACUGAACCCUUGGGACAUGUAGGGCCCACCAUGCUCUCUGACUGUCUCUGUUCAGUAUAUCAAAAGCAGUCCUUCUAACUCAGAGCCACAAACAGGAGGUAUCCAAGUCUUCACAUCAUACAUAGCUAAAUUUCUUCACUUCCUAAGAAUAGACGUUAUUCCUGUGGGAAUUAUAACAUCACUCAUCAAUCUGUUCAACUGAUCUUCGAACAGAGUUAUUUCCGAAGUCCACUCUUGGGCCACACACUGGAUUUCCUGGAGUCUCACUCACUCUCCAUACCGCUGACACAAAGGCAGCCAUCGACCCUUC